GAACGGUCGGCCUGGUACACAUAUGUUAUUAACCCCUAUGUUAAUUUGGCGCCGGAAUUGUCCUUUAAAAGAGAG